AAUCAACGCUGGCGGCGUGCCUAACACAUGCAAGUCGAACGAGAAAGUGGAGCAAUCCAUGAGUAAAGUGGCGCACGGGUGAGUAACACGUGACUAACCUACCCUUGAGUGGGGGAUAACCUCGGGAAACCGGGGCUAAUACCGCAUAACACCGAGAGGUCAAAGGAGCAAUUCGCUUAAGGAGGGGGUCGCGGCUGACUAGUUAGUUGGCAGGGUAAUGGCCUACCAAGACGAUGAUCAGUAUCCGGCCUGAGAGGGCGCACGGACACACUGGAACUGAAACACGGUCCAGACUCCUACGGGAGGCAGCAGUGGGGAAUUUUGCGCAAUGGGGGAAACCCUGACGCAGCAACGCCGCGUGGAGGAUGAAGUCCCUUGGGACGUAAACUCCUUUCGAUCGGGACGAUUAUGACGGUA
rnacentral:rRNA from 1 species